AUUGAACGCUGGCGGCAGGCCUAACACAUGCAAGUCGAACGAGUGGCGGACGGGUGAGUAAUGUCUGGGAAACUGCCUGAUGGCGGGGGAUAACUACUGGAAACGGUAGCUAAUACCGCAUACCAUCAGCUUUGCCCAGAUGGGUUUCUCUUGUUGGUGGGGUAACGGCUAACCAAAGCGACGAUCCCUAGCUGGUCUGAGAGGAUGACCAGCCACACUGGAACUGAGACACGGUCCAGACUCCUACGGGAGGCAGCAGUGGGGAAUAUUGCACAAUGGGCGAAAGCCUGAUGCAGCCAUGCCGCGUGUGUGAAGAAGGCCUUCGGGUUGUAAAGUACUUUCAGCGGGGAGGCGUUACCCGCAGAAGAAGCAACGGCUAACUCCGUGCCAGCAGCCGCGGUAAUUC
rnacentral:rRNA from 1 species